ensembl:lncRNA
CCGGGGGCGGGGAGAGGGGCGGGGCUUUCCGCCGAAAGGGGGCGGGGCGCGCGGAGGAGGCGGGGCGAGCGCAGGGGAGGCUGGCGAGCAGAGAGUGCCCUUGUGUCGCCAGCCGGCGAGCGGCUGGGAGCGAGCAGCCGCCCCGCGCCGCCAGCGGGACGGGACGGGACAGCACGGCACGGGACAGCACGGCGCGGGGCGGGACAGGCCGGGCCGCAGGGACAGCCGGACCGACCCGCCGGUAGGGGCGAGGGGAGCCAGCGGGGGCAGCCGGCACCGCUCGGUGGAGGGAAGCAGCCCGGCGGCGGCAGAGCCGGCGGGGAGAGCUGCUCCCCCCACUUCCCUCCCCAAUCCACCCCCGCGACCCCGGCCCUCCUCCUCCUCCUCCUCCUCACCCCACUGGAUACAGCGAGGGAGACACUGCGGCGGCGGAGGCGGCGGCGGCGGCUCCUGCGGGGGGAAGGAAGCGCCCGGAGAGCGGAGCGGCGGGAGGCUGCGGAUCUGCGUGCCUGGCGCCCACCCAGCCCGAGGGGAGCCCCCAGGAUGCGGCUCAAGCCCGGCGCGCUCCUGCGCUUCUACAGCCUCUGCGGGAUCCUCAUGCAAGUGUCCAAAGUGCUCUCAUUACCUGGAUUACAGAGUCAUAAAAUCAACUUGUAUCAAUGGAAAAUCCCACAGAUACACAUCAAAAUGAAACUUUGGAGGACAUAUCUCAUUAUCAAGCAAGAGGUUUUCUAGCCUUUGGAUAUUUUACAGUUGUUUGGAUCUGCAGUAUCAAUUCUGCUUGAUCCAAUGUUGUACAUAUAUAGGUGAAUAUAUAGCAAAGAAGCAUCUCUUUAAGUGAAUUUACUUCUCUCCCCUGAUUCUGAUUUCACCUGAAAACAAAGAAUUGCAGAGAAAUUCUUUGAGAUAAAAUAAUUAUUUGAGAAAGCUGAUGCCAGGUAAGGCCAAGGUAUCUUCAGGCUAACAAUAUCGAUUAGCGUUGUUAAAAUUUGAUAGCUAAUAGUUUAACGUUUUUUUUUGCCUUAAGGAUUUGAGAUUUUUCGUAGAAAUCCUUUGGUUUUAACAUGAUAGCCGCAUUAUUAAUUAACAGAAAUUGGAAAAAGUGACUUCAACUAACUGCUAGCUGCAUAAUUUAUUAAUUUAUAGACAAUGUAAAUACUUCUGGGUGUAUGCCAAGGAAUUAAUAAUUACUGAAAUAACAUCACUGAACUUUCAUAUCAAGGAGAUGCAGUAAUACUUUAUUACUACGUUUGAAUUAAAGUGCAAAUUUAACAUCCUUAUUCCAUGCUAUGCUUAUGACAAGUCAGAGAGAAAGUGAUGCUAUUACAAACCUAGAAGCAGGAGAGUACAACUCUAAAACAAAACAAAACAAAAAAACAAGAACAACCACUGUACACACAGCCAACCUGCAAAGGUCACCUUUCAUUUUCUAAUUGUGGAAUAUGAGUAGUGGAAGGAAACCUAAAAUGUUAUCAUCUUUGGUUGGAUGCCUUAUGAUGAAAAAAAUCCUUCUGUGAAUGGCUGAUGUUUAUACCUUAUUGAGCUCCAGAGAAGGAAAUUAAUAUUUUACUAAACACAUGCUUAGCUGAUAAUGAUGCUAAUAAUAUAGCUUUUGUUAUUUAGCAGCGGGGAAAUUACCAUCAUUUUUGUUAUGUUUUGCAUUCUCUGAUAUUUGAAUCUGUAAUACUUGAAUAUUCAAAUGAAUUCUGGUAGUUUAUUUCUGGUCUCCAGAUUUGAAAAACAUACUUCUGAGGUACUUUGUCCACCUAUUAAUUACUUCUCCAAGGUUGAUUUUUUGCAGAUACAGGACAGACUGAAGGAAGACUUCACCUGGAUUCUUUAUUAUUUGUGUGUGUUAAAUUAUAAUUUUUCUCUCAUUUGGUGGCAUAUAGCAACUGUUUGCAUUCUGAUUUUUUAUGCUGUUAAUGGUGUGCCUCCAGGCUUCGAAACACAGGUGCACCGGACGCCAUGCUGCAUGGUUGUGAUUAUAUAUUGUUCGCUGAAGCAAUGUUUCCUCAGCAUCAAGAAUAACGGCACCUAAUGCCUCCUGGAACAUUCCCAGGAGUGUUAUGUGUUGUUAGCAAUCGGAAUGAACCAGAGUAUGAUGAUACACCGAAACUGUGCUUUUUGAAUGUCAUACAUCUAUGAUCUUUCCAAAUGUUAUCUAACUGAUAGCAGGGUUGGUAUCAGGACUUAAGUUUCCAUAUCAAGUUUCUUGAAGUCACAUUACAAGACAUCUGAAUGCAAUCUUCUUCUUUGCAAAAGACUGAGAAAUGCUCCCUUCUACUAGGUGACAUUUCCUUAAGUGCCAUUUCUUCUGUAGGGUGUGACUUUUAGCUUAUUUUUCUAUUACACCAUUUAUUUUAUGGUGCUUUUUAUGUAUUGUAGUCUCUUGCUACAGACUUUGGAGUUUUAUUUCAGCAAUGUUUCCUAAUGUAUCUUAACUGCAUUAUUUGCUUAGUAUUAAUGAAGUCCUUGCAUGGCGUGUAAUUACAACAGUUAGAUGCGAAGUAUGUGGGUCUCCAAGAACAGCAAAUGCAAUUGCUUUUGUUACUUGGUUAUCUUUUAAUUUCCCUCAGGCUGACAAUAUGAUAACUCAUGCAGAGCAUAAGUGUUUUAGAAUUUUAAAGAAAAAUUUAAAAUAUUAAAUUAUUAAUAAACAGCAAGCUGUUGCCUAAUACGGAAUUACU